CUGUCUUUACAGGAAGUGUUAAGGCUGGCUGUGUAAGUCAGAGGCAGAGAGGUGUAAGUAGGGAUGUAUAAACAAUGUGAUUUAUGCUAUAAAUAGAGGCAUAAAUAGGAAAAUAUAAUUUUGCCUCUAUAUAAAUCGCUUGAAUAACCUUGAAUAUGCUGUGCAAUUUUGGGCACCUGUUCUAAAGAAGGAUAUCAUGGCACUAGAAAAAGUGCAGAGGCGAGCUACAAAAUUGAUAAAAAAGAAUGGAGCAUUUUAGUUAUGUAGAAAGGUUAAACAAUUUAAAUCUCUUUAGUUUGGAAAAACGGCACCUCAGAGGGGAUAUGAUAACAUUAUACAAAUAUAUUCGGGGCCAGUAAAAACCAUUAUCUGGAAAUCUAUUCAUAAACAGGGCUAUACAUAGGACACAAGGUCACGCAUUUAGGAUGGGAGAAAGGAGAUUUAAUCUGAG